rnacentral:rRNA from 1 species
CCUACGGGAGGCUGCAGUGAGGAAUAUUGGUCAAUGGACGAGAGUCUGAACCAGCCAAGUAGCGUGAAGGAUGACUGCCCUAUGGGUUGUAAACUUCUUUUAUAUGGGAAUAAAAUGUUCCACGUGUGGGCUUUUGUAUGUACCAUAUGAAUAAGGAUCGGCUAACUCCGUGCCAGCAGCCGCGGUAAUACGGAGGAUCCGAGCGUUAUCCGGAUUUAUUGGGUUUAAAGGGAGCGUAGGUGGAUUGUUAAGUCAGUUGUGAAAGUUUGCGGCUCAACCGUAAAAUUGCAGUUGAAACUGGCAGUCUGGAGUACAGUAGAGGUGGGCGGAAUUCGUGGUGUAGCGGUGAAAUGCGUAGAUAUUAGGAAGAACACCAGUGGCGAAGGCGGCUUGCUGGACUGAAACUGACGCUGAGGCACGAAAGCGUGGGGAGCGAACAGGAUUAGAUACCCUUGUAGUC